ACGAUUCAAAUUACAAAUUCCGUUUCAACAGAAUAAAAUUUCAGAUAAAGUGGUCCGUUCAACAUAGCGUAAGAGCAAACAAACUCUCGAAUUCGACUCUAGCCCGUCGUCCAUUUAUAAACAUUCUCCACAUGUUAGGCCUUCGACCAAAAUGAAUCUAGCCUGCACAUUAAGGUGUGUUGAAGACUACUAAAUUUAAAUAAUUAAACCUUUCUCUUAUCUAAUAGCUUGAAACUUGAGGUGGUUCACGACUUCCUACGACUAAUUUGGAUGUGUUGCCUACUAAAGUGAACAACAAGAUAAAAAUGACAACAUAUAUUGAGUAUUAAUUAAGAAUAUGACGACUUACAUGGUUUAGAAGUGUUUCACGUUUAUAAGAGUUUUGCAAGCUUCAAAAAACAUGAAGGACGAGGGAAGGUAGAUCAAAACUAAUAUGAUUCGUAAUACUUUCUAUGGAUCAGACUCUAAAUUCAUUGAGAACUAAUCUUAGUUUAUCAUUCUUGUUUAAUGAAUCUGCCAAAAAUUCAGCUUACAGUCUCAAUCAACACUGUGUAAUUUUUAUUUUUAAAAAAAAAAAUAAAUUCAAUGAUUGAUAAUUGCAGAAUUUUUGUUAAUUUGUGAAUCAAACCUUCUCCUUCUCCCGGUUGGCAGCUAUAUUGUUCUCACAUCUGAUCUUCCAUUUCUUGUAAAACUCUGCUUUGUAUUCAUCAGCUUCAUCAAUUAUUUCCUUCAACAUCUCCUUCUCCCUCUUCUCUUUCUCCUCCAGCCGAAUUGCAUUUUGCCUAAAAAUGUAGGUUUUGUUAGCCUCUGCAUGGAAUUUUUCUCUGCUUUCCAAAGCCAACUGUAGAACACGAUUCAAAUUACAAAUUCCGUUUCAACAGAAUAAAAUUUCAGAUAAAGUGGUCCGUUCAACAUAGCGUAAGAGCAAACAAACUCUCGAAUUCGACUCUAGCCCGUCGUCCAUUUAUAAACAUUCUCCACAUGUUAGGCCUUCGACCAAAAUGAAUCUAGCCUGCACAUUAAGGUGUGUUGAAGACUACUAAAUUUAAAUAAUUAAACCUUUCUCUUAUCUAAUAGCUUGAAACUUGAGGUGGUUCACGACUUCCUACGACUAAUUUGGAUGUGUUGCCUACUAAAGUGAACAACAAGAUAAAAAUGACAACAUAUAUUGAGUAUUAAUUAAGAAUAUGACGACUUACAUGGUUUAGAAGUGUUUCACGUUUAUAAGAGUUUUGCAAGCUUCAAAAAACAUGAAGGACGAGGGAAGGUAGAUCAAAACUAAUAUGAUUCGUAAUACUUUCUAUGGAUCAGACUCUAAAUUCAUUGAGAACUAAUCUUAGUUUAUCAUUCUUGUUUAAUGAAUCUGCCAAAAAUUCAGCUUACAGUCUCAAUCAACACUGCGUAAUUUUUAUUUUUAAAAAAAAAAAUAAAUUCAAUGAUUGAUAAUUGCAGAAUUUUUGUUAAUUUGUGAAUCAAACCUUCUCCUUCUCCCGGUUGGCAGCU
rnacentral:lncRNA from 1 species